GAUGAACGCUGGCGGCGUGCCUAAUACAUGCAAGUCGAGCGAACGGACGAGAAGCUUGCUUCUCUGAUGUUAGCGGCGGACGGGUGAGUAACACGUGGAUAACCUACCUAUAAGACUGGGAUAACUUCGGGAAACCGGAGCUAAUACCGGAUAAUAUUUUGAACCGCAUGAUUCAAAAGUGAAAGACGGUCUUGCUGUCACUUAUAGAUGGAUCCGCGCUGCAUUAGCUAGUUGGUAAGGUAACGGCUUACCAAGGCAACGAUGCAUAGCCGACCUGAGAGGGUGAUCGGCCACAUUGGAACUGAGACACGGUCCAGACUCCUACGGGAGGCAGCAGUAGGGAAUCUUCCGCAAUGGGCGAAAGCCUGACGGAGCAACGCCGCGUGAGUGAUGAAGGUCUUCGGAUCGUAAAACUCUGUUAUUAGGGAAGAACAUAUGUGUAAGUAACUGUGCACAUCUUGACGGUACCUAAUCAGAAAGCCACGGCUAACUACGUG
rnacentral:rRNA from 1 species